rnacentral:piRNA from 1 species
UGGUGUAUCCAGUGGGCAGCAGCCACACUGC